rnacentral:rRNA from 1 species
GACGAACGCUGGCGGCGUGCUUAACACAUGCAAGUCGAACGGAAAGGCCCUGCUUUUGUGGGGUUCUCGAGUGGCGAACGGGUGAGUAACACGUGUGUAACCUGCCCUUGACUUUGGGAUAACUUCAGGAAACUGGGGCUAAUACCGGAUAGGAGCUCCUGCUGCAUGGUGGGGGUUGGAAAGUUUCGGCGGUUGGGGAUGGACUCGCGGCUUAUCAGCUUGUUGGUUGGGUAGUGGCUUACCAAGGCUUUGACGGGUAGCCGGCCUGAGAGGGUGACCGGCCACAUUGGGACUGAGAUACGGCCCAGACUCCUACGGGAGGCAGCAGUGGGGAAUAUUGCACAAUGGGCGGAAGCCUGAUGCAGCAACGCCGCGUGCGGGAUGACGGCCUUCGGGUUGUGAACCGCUUUCGCCUGUGACGAAGAGUGAGUGACGGUAAUGGGUAAAGAAGCCCCGGCUAACUACGUG